rnacentral:rRNA from 1 species
AUGUUGGAAACAGCGAAAAUAUUCAUAUCUAGAGGGAUAGAUGGCUGCCACAUGAGUCUUCUGGCAAGCCCAUCACGCUGCAGGGCACUUGCAGACUUCGUCGUUGUCGGAUCUCUUGAUGGCCAAGAGGCAUGGCGGAUGGAUAUCCUCCACACGCACUUUCUCCCGGCAAACGUUGAUCUUAUUAAUAGCAUCUGGACAUCACCUAGAGCCCCCAAUGACGUCCUCGAAUGGGCUCUGGAGAAGAACGACAUCUUAAUUGUAUGUUCAGUAAUCGCUUCGCCAUGGACGAUCACGAGCGUCCAUCGGCAUGCACCACGAGCACGGCAACGAAUGGUCGUUGCGACAUCUGGAAGACCAUAUGGGGGUGCCUUGCUCCCCCAAAGGUACGCGUCUUCCCAUGGUGGCUUGUGGUUGUCUCUCUAG